UCAAGUUAAAGUACAGAGGCGUGUAUCUCAGCAGCGCAUUGGUCGAGCAGCGUGAUUGACAUGUCUAUAGAACCGUCAGAGCCAGUAGAAUUGACGGACAGCAUCAGAAUCCCUCCCAAGGACAUUAUUCGCGUUCUGUGAGUGGGCGAACCCACUAUGACGCCUUUUUCCCCCGACGCCAUUCGACAUGCGACUUCCGCCUGUUUAGUCGAAAUAGGGCGGACCAGGCGGAUUAACAUCUUGAAAUGACGAGCGGUCUUUGUGCUAAGCUAACGGAAUCGGAUUUAUGGAUCAGAAUACAACUUUUCCCGCAAAAACUUCGACGCAACACGCCCACGCCAACACAGCAACCCAGAGGGGCCAGCUUCACACCGAACGGCGCCGUGCACCGAGCAGCCAGAGCUGACCGGCGAGCAGUAUUUAAUGUGGCACCGAACAGUGUGAGGGACAGUGAGCUGAGGCCACGAGAACAAAUCAGAAUUGCAACUACACUCAUGGCUGCCCCAGCGAGAGAACAUCAGAUGUCUCUCCAUCUCUCCUCCGCCAUCUCUCGCUCGGUGCAUCUGUCCCCUCCAGCCCUCCGUCGCACCUUCCCUCCGUGAUCCACCCGUCUCUGCGGCGAGAGCUUCUCCAUCCAAAUUGACGCACACGUUGAGAUGAACAGAUUGGUAAAGAGUGAGAGGAGGGGGGCCUGGGGGAGCCCCUGACUGUGAAACUCCAUAACGAGUGAUGGAUGUUGAUGGAGACACAUGCAGUGGUGAUUAUGGAUCAUCACAGAGUAUCGAGGAAGAACAGAGACAGACAGACGGAAAACGGAGAAUGGAGAGAAAUGAUUGCGGGCUCAGAAUGGUUGAUGACCGAACUGAAUCCGCCUGAUUCUUUGAAGAUGGAGCUGUUGCGCCACUGAGAGGUGAAAUCAGGAGGUGAAACUAUGCUGCAGCCGGGGUUAUUACUAAAAUGCAUGGUACUGUUCAGGCCAAAUAUCCAACUAAAACCUUUUUUUCUAAAAUGAAUAAUGCUUUACUCUAUAAAUUGACAUUGCAUUUGUAAAAAAAAAAAAAAAUGUUAUUGUUUGAGGUCUGAGCAAUCUGAGACACUCAACAUGAAAUAUAGUUAACAAAGAAAUGUAACAAAACUUUGCAAACCAGGUCAUAUUACCCAAUCAGGUAUGCAGAUUUUCUUUAAUUGGGUCAAAGUGGCACUGUACUGUAGAAAAACUCAACAGUGUUGAGAUUUAACUCAUUAUACACAAUUGCCCUUAUCCUAGUUGUAGCUGAUCACUGGAUUAUCAUUAUUAGUUUUAUCACCAUUAUUUUUAUUAAAGCAUACAUGUGUACGGAAUUCUUUAAUAGUGUGAAUGAAUGAUAUGGACAUUGUUUAUGAUAUUGUUAUGUGAUAUAUUGUGUAAAGUGACUGCUGUUAAACAAAUGCAGGAGAUUUUAAAGUACAAUAUUUCUUUUUAAUUUUGAGUUCCAGUAUAAUAUUGCUGAAAAUGGAAAGACGUGGGUGUAAUAUUUGAGUAUACUUCCACCGCUGUAUGAACUAAAAAAGAUAAAAUACAAGCAUUAAAGCAAGACGUGGCAUUAACAAAUGACCUUUCAUGAAUAAAAAAGUAAGAAGAGAAUUUAAUUUUACUCUGCUGGUGUAAUAAUUCCCCGACUGGCUGCUUCAGAGUUUGGAUGCCCAGAAAGCAAAUAGUCUGGUCACCUCUACUCUUAAACUGGGGCUGAGGAACUGUUAAAUGAAGCUGCCCGAGGAUCUCUGCCUGCUCUCUGGAUCACAGGGGACCAGAAAUUCUGCAAUUUAGCUAAUGUAUGAGACUCGGGUUUCCUUGGGGAAGGGAACAAGUACGUCACCGGUAUAGGAUCGGCUGAAGCCCUUUAAUCACUUCUGACAAGUAAAUGGACGUGGAACACAUCAGAGGAAAGUUCUGCCCUUCUCUUGGUCAUAUAUUUCAAAUUAUGCCUUUUUUUGCCUUUACAUUUCUCUCGUCUGCACUGGUUUGGACAUAUACUGUUCCGCCCAAAGGUUCAGAAACACAGAUAA